rnacentral:rRNA from 1 species
AUUGAACGCUGGCGGCAGGCUUAACACAUGCAAGUCGAGCGGGGUGAUGGUGCUUGCACUAUCACUUAGCGGCGGACGGGUGAGUAAUGCUUAGGAAUCUGCCUAUUAGUGGGGGACAACAUCUCGAAAGGGAUGCUAAUACCGCAUACGUCCUACGGGAGAAAGCAGGGGAUCACUUGUGACCUUGCGCUAAUAGAUGAGCCUAAGUCGGAUUAGCUAGUUGGUGGGGUAAAGGCCUACCAAGGCGACGAUCUGUAGCGGGUCUGAGAGGAUGAUCCGCCACACUGGGACUGAGACACGGCCCAGACGCCGACGGGAGGCAGCAGUGGGGAAUAUUGGACAAUGGGGGGAACCCUGAUCCAGCCAUGCCGCGUGUGUGAAGAAGGCCUUAUGGUUGUAAGGCACUUUAAGCGAGGAGGAGGCUCUUUUGGUCAAUACCCAAGAUGAGUGGACGUUACUCGCAGAAUAAGCACCGGCUAACUCUGUGCCAGCAGCCGCAGUAA